AAAAGUCUUCAGGGCAGGGUGUAAUUCCCGACCGGUGGUAAAGUCCACGAGCUAAUGGUGUCAUUAGUUGAACUGGUGUAAUUCCAGUACCGACAGUAAAGUCUGGAUGGGAGAAGAUGGAU
rfam:Globicatella sp. HMSC072A10 Globicatella_spHMPREF2811-1.0_Cont619.2, whole genome shotgun sequence.